rnacentral:miRNA from 1 species
AUACAGCUAGAUAACCAAAG